GAAAGCUGGAAUGAUAGAGCAAAGAUGAGUGUGGCCCCUGCACAAGGAUAACACACAAAUUCAUGAAGCAUUCCAUAAACUA
rnacentral:snRNA from 1 species